rnacentral:rRNA from 1 species
UCCUACGGGAGGCAGCAGUAGGGAAUCUUCCACAAUGGGCGCAAGCCUGAUGGAGCAACACCGCGUGAGUGAAGAAGGGUUUCGGCUCGUAAAGCUCUGUUGUUAAAGAAGAACACGUAUGAGAGUAACUGUUCAUACGUUGACGGUAUUUAACCAGAAAGUCACGGCUAACUACGUGCCAGCAGCCGCGGUAAUA